AUUGAACGCUGGCGGCAUGCCUUACACAUGCAAGUCGAACGGUAACAGGUUAAGCUGACGAGUGGCGAACGGGUGAGUAAUAUAUCGGAACGUGCCCAAUCGUGGGGGAUAACGUAGCGAAAGUUACGCUAAUACCGCAUACGAUCUACGGAUGAAAGCGGGGGAUCGCAAGACCUCGCGCGUUUGGAGCGGCCGAUAUCAGAUUAGGUAGUUGGUGGGGUAAAGGCUCACCAAGCCAACGAUCUGUAGCCGGUCUGAGAGGACGACCAGCCACACUGGAACUGAGACACGGUCCAGACUCCUACGGGAGGCAGCAGUGGGGAAUUUUGGACAAUGGACGCAAGUCUGAUCCAGCCAUUCCGCGUGCAGGAUGAAGGCCCUCGGGUUGUAAACUGCUUUUGUACGGAACGAAAAGGUUUCCAUUAAUACUGGGAGCUCAUGACGGUACCGUAAGAAUAAGCACCGGCUAACUACGUGCCAGCCGCCGCCGUAA
rnacentral:rRNA from 1 species